rnacentral:rRNA from 1 species
UACGGAGGGUGCAAGCGUUGUCCGGAUUUAUUGGGUUUAAAGGGUGCGUAGGCGGCCCGUUAAGUCAGUGGUGAAAGCCUCCAGCUCAACUGGAGAACUGCCAUUGAUACUGGCGGGCUUGAGUACAGACGAGGUAGGCGGAAUUGAUUGUGUAGCGGUGAAAUGCAUAGAUAUCAAGAGGAACACCUGAGGUGAAGACGGGUCGCUGGGCUGACACUGACGCUGAGGCGCGAAAGCCAGGGGAGCAAACGGG